rnacentral:piRNA from 1 species
AGCCUGGAAAUCCCUGCUUUGAGUUGNUCC